rnacentral:rRNA from 1 species
UACGCAGGGGGCUAGCGUUGCUCGGAAUUACUGGGCGUAAAGCGCACGUAGGCGGCUUGUUAAGUCGGGGGUGAAAUCCUGGAGCUCAACUCCAGAACUGCCUUCGAUACUGGCGAUCUCGAGUUCGGGAGAGGUGAGUGGAACUGCGAGUGUAGAGGUGAAAUUCGUAGAUAUUCGCAAGAACACCAGUGGCGAAGGCGGCUCACUGGCCCGAUACUGACGCUGAGGUGCGAAAGCGUGGGGAGCAAAAGGG